rnacentral:rRNA from 1 species
GACUCCGGAGAGGGAGCCUGAGAAACGGCUACCACAUCCAAGGAAGGCAGCAGGCACGCAAAUUACCCACUCCCGGCACGGGGAGGUAGUGACGAAAAAUAACGAGGUGGUUCUCUAUGAGGCCCACCAUCGGAAUGGGUACAAUUUAAAUCCUUUAACGAGGAACUAUUGGAGGGCAAGUCUGGUGCCAGCAGCCGCGGUAAUUCCAGCUCCAAUAGCGUAUAUUAAAGUUGUUGCGGUUAAAAAGCUCGUAGUUGGAUCUGCGGCCGAGGAGAGCGGUCACCCGUUGGGUUGCUACUGCUUUUCCUGGCCUAAUUCUUCGGUUUUCCCUUGAUGCUCUUCAUUGAGUGUCUUUGGUGGCCGAAACGUUUACUUUGAAAAAAUUAGAGUGCUCAAGGCAAGCUAUUAGCUUGAAUAGUGGUGCAUGGAAUAAUAAAAGAGGAUAUUGGUCCGUUUUGUUGGUAAUGGUCCGAUAUAAUGAUAGAGGGGGACAAUCGGGGGCAUUCGUAUUGCGACGUUAGAGGUGAAAUUCUUGGAUCGUCGCAAGACGGACUACUGCGAAAGCAUUUGCCAAGAGUGUUUUCGUCAAUCAAGAACGAAAGUUAGAGGUUCGAAGGCGAUCAGAUACCGCCCUAGUUCUAACCGUAAACGAUGCCAACUAACAAUCCGCCAGUGUUAAAUGUAUGACUUGGCGGGAGGCUUCCGGAAAACCAAAGUUGGGUUCCGGGGGGAGUAUGGUUGCAAAGCUGAAACUUAAAGGAAUUGACGGAAGGGCACCACCAGGAGUGGAGCCUGCGGCUUAAUUUGACCCAACACGGGGAAACUCACCCGGCCCGAACACCGUAAGGAUUGACAGAUUGAGAGCUCUUUCUUGAUUCGGUGGGUGGUGGUGCAUGGCCGUUCUUAGUUGGUGGAGCGAUUUGUCUGGUUAAUUCCGAUAACGAACGAGACUCUAGCCUACUAAAUAGACAUUGGAUUUUGUUGUCCAGUGUACUUCUUAGAGGGACCGGCGUCUAGCUGCACGAGAUUGAGCAAUAACAGGUCUGUGAUGCCCUUAGAUGUUCGGGGCCGCACGCGCGCUACACUGAAGGAAUCAGCAUGCAUCUCAACCUUGUCCGGAAGGACUUGGUAACCCGCUGAAACUCCUUCGUGAUUGGGAUAGGGAAUUGCAAUUAUUUCCCUUGAACGAGGAAUUCCCAGUAAGUGCGGGUCAUCAGCUCGCGUUGAUUACGUCCCUGCCCUUUGUACACACCGCCCGUCGCUAUUACCGAUUGGAUGGUUCAGUGAGACAUGCGGACUUGCGUUGAGGCUGCUUUACGGCUGCCUCUUCUGCGGGAGAGCAUUUCUAGCUUGACCA